UACAGAGGGUGCGAGCGUUAAUCGGAAUUACUGGGCGUAAAGCGUGCGUAGACGGUUAUUUAAGUCGGGUGUGAAAGCCCCGGGCUCAACCUGGGAAUUGCAUUCGAGACUGAAUAGCUAGGGUACGGUAGAGGGAAGUGGAAUUUCCGGUGUAGCGGUGAAAUGCGUAGAUAUCGGAAGGAACAUCAGUGGCGAAAGCGACACCCUGGCAUUAGCCUGACGCUCAUGUGCGAAGGCGUGGGGAGCGAACGGG
rnacentral:rRNA from 1 species